UAACGCGUGAGUAACCUGCCUCUCAGAGGGGGAUAACGUUCUGAAAAGGACGCUAAUACCGCAUGACAUCCCGGGGCCGCAUGGCCCUGGGAUCAAAGGAGCAAUCCGCUGAGAGAUGGACUCGCGUCCGAUUAGCUAGUUGGUGAGAUAAAGGCCCACCAAGGCGACGAUCGGUAGCCGGACUGAGAGGUUGAACGGCCACAUUGGGACUGAGACACGGCCCAG
rnacentral:rRNA from 1 species